GACUCCUACGGGAGGCAGCAGUGGGGAAUUUUGGACAAUGGGCGAAAGCCUGAUCCAGCAAUGCCGCGUGUGUGAAGAAGGCCUUCGGGUUGUAAAGCACUUUUGUCCGGAAAGAAAUCCUUGAUUCUAAUACAGUCGGGGGAUGACGGUACCGGAAGAAUAAGCACCGGCUAACUACGUGCCAGCAGCCGCGGUAAUACGUAGGGUGCAAGCGUUAAUCGGAAUUACUGGGCGUAAAGCGUGCGCAGGCGGUUUGCUAAGACCGAUGUGAAAUCCCCGGGCUCAACCUGGGAACUGCAUUGGUGACUGGCAAGCUAGAGUAUGGCAGAGGGGGGUAGAAUUCCACGUGUAGCAGUGAAAUGCGUAGAGAUGUGGAGGAAUACCGAUGGCGAAGGCAGCCCCCUGGGCCAAUACUGACGCUCAGCAGGAA
rnacentral:rRNA from 1 species